rnacentral:rRNA from 1 species
GAUCAUGGCUCAGGACGAACGCUGGCGGCGUGCUUAACACAUGCAAGUCGAACGAGAGGACAAGAGAAGCUUGCUUCUCUUGGAAUCGAGUGGCAAACGGGUGAGUAACACGUAAACAACCUGCCUUCAGGGUGGGGACAACAGACGGAAACGACUGCUAAUACCGAAUACGCUUGGGAGACCGCAUGAUCUUCCAAGGAAAGGGUGGCCUCUACCUGUAAGCUAUCGCCUGAAGAGGGGUUUGCG